CCUACGGGAGGCAGCAGUGGGGAAUCUUGCGCAAUGGGCGGAAGCCUGACGCAGCAACGCCGCGUGUGGGAAGACGGCUUUCGGGUUGUAAACCACUUUCAGGGGGGACGAAGCUUCCGAGGUUAAUAGCCUACGGGGUGACGGUACCCCCAGAAGAAGCCCCGGCUAACUACGUGCCAGCAGCCGCGGUAAUACGUAGGGGGCGAGCGUUGUCCGGAAUCAUUGGGCGUAAAGCGCGUGUAGGCGGCUUGAUAAGUCUGGUGUGAAAUCUUGGGGCUUAACCCCAAGCCUGCACUGGAUACUGUCAAGCUUGAGUCCGGGAGGGGAGAGCGGAAUUCCUAGUGUAGCGGUGAAAUGCGCAGAUAUUAGGAAGAACACCGGUGGCGAAGGCGGCUCUCUGGAACGGUACUGACGCUGAGACGCGAAAGCGUGGGGAGCGAACAGGAUUAGAUACCCUGGUAGUCCACGCCGUAAACGAUGGGCACUAGAUGUGGGCGGUGUCGACUCCGUCCGUGUCGAAGCUAACGCAUAAGUGCCCCGCCUGGGGAGUACGGCCGCAAGGCUAAAACGUCAAAGGAAUUGACGGCUUGAGACGUUGCGAGGCGCGACGAGGGAGAGG
rnacentral:rRNA from 1 species